rnacentral:other from 1 species
GGCGUCCUGCUGUGUUAGUGAUGUCGCCAACGCGUUUUGAGCCAACACUCAACACAACGGGAACCGUUCCUCUAGACGGGGAUGCGAUAGCCGCAAGGCAAGGCUGAUCCGCCGGGUUAGGUUCCCACCUGCGAAAGCAGGUUCAAAACUACCGCGGCACACGGCACGGCGGGCGCUG